rnacentral:lncRNA from 1 species
GAUUAGCAGCCUUAAAGAAGAGUCUGUGAUUAAUUAGACCUGAACCUCUCCUCACAGGAAACGACUAUAUGGAGGAAGCAGCAGAGAAGGGCAAAUUUUAAAAAGUGGAAGAAAACUGGUAUGCAUAUUUUCAACCAAGUGAAAACGUCAAGGAGGUUAAAGUAAUCAACUGGGUCAAAUGCUGCUGAGAGGUCAAAUAAGUUUUUAUUUCAUAAUCAUAAACAACUCUGCAAUCCAGCUAGGCAUGGAAGGGAACAAGGAAAACAUGGAACCCAAAGGGAACUGCAGCGAGAGCACAAA